UACGGAGGGUGCGAGCGUUGUCCGGAAUCAUUGGGCGUAAAGGGCGCGUAGGUGGCCACUUCAAGCGUGCGGUGAAAGUCGGGGGCUCAACCCCUGAUCGGCCGUGCGAACUGGGGGGCUGGAGCACUGUAGAGGCAGGCGGAAUUCCUGGUGUAGCGGUGAAAUGCGUAGAGAUCAGGAAGAACAUCGGUGGCGAAGGCGCUCUGCUGGACCAUAACUGACACUCAGGGACGAAAGCUAGGGGAGCGAAUGGG
rnacentral:rRNA from 1 species